ACCAUCGAUGCGCGGCCGGAGGACGGGGACAAGUACCAGUGCCGCGUGGAGCACGCCAGCCUGCAACAGCCCGGCUUGUACUCGUGGGAGCCAUCACAGCCCAACCUGGUCCCCAUCGUGGUGGGGGUGAUUGUCGCCAUUGUGGCCAUCGCCAUCGUGGGUGGUGUUGGAUUCAUCAUCUACAGAAGCCAUGCAGGGAAGAAAGAGAAGGGCUACAACAUUGCCCCUGGUGAGUGAUGAGGGCAGAGCUGUCCCCCACCUCUGCCCAGUGCCAGGGCGGUCCUGGGGUCCCCG